AUAUUGGGUGUUUGGGGAAGACAAAUAACUUAUUUUCUUCGUUAUAGGUUUCCACCUUGAGAGGAAUUGUAUCCAAGGAUUCUCAUCCACGUGUGGACCUGGUAUGUGCACAUAACAAGAUCCUGGACUUGGAGCCAGUGAAACGAUAUAAUGAGAAGAGGCUUUCGGGAGAAAAAUGUAAAUUGUGGUCAGAGUGGCAAAAAAAGCAAGUGAUAGUGAAAAAAACCUGGCUUCAUUUUUCAGUAUUAAUUAGGAGUCCAGUAUUAGAAAUGCAAGAGUGAAAGGACCACAAAGGAAGUAUUUCUUAAUGAAAUUACACAAGCGGCUCUUCCUCAAGUCUAUCUCAGUGCAAAAUUGGCAACCUAACUAUACAGUUAUUCAUUAACUUUAGAUAUACUGCUGAGGGUGUGGUUCUGAGAAAAGGAACUGAAAGUCUUCAGCAGAUCUCCCAGUACGGGAUGGUAAGCUCUUCAGAGCAGUCCCACAUAUCUGAGCACCUGUUUUUGAAGAAAGUUGGUGGGAAAGGCUCUAAGGACUCUGUGUCCCAUUAGGGAACUUUACAA